rnacentral:miRNA from 1 species
CGUCGGACCAGGCUUCAUUCCCC